AGUAGCGGAAGGGUGAGGAACGCGUGAGUAAUCUGCCCCCCAGUUGGGAAUAACAGUUGGAAACGACUGCUAAUACCGAAUGUGGCUUGAGCUUCGCCUGGAGCUCUGGCUAAAGAUUUAUCGCUGGGGGAUGAGCUCGCGUCCCAUUAGGUAGUUGGUGAGGUAACGGCUCACCAAGCCGACGAUGGGUAGCUGGUCUGAGAGGAUGGUCAGCCACACUGGGACUGAGACACUGCCCAGACUCCUACGGGAGGCUGCAGUCGAGAAUCUUGGGCAAUGCGCGAAAGCGUGACCCAGCAAUGCCGCGUGUAUGAUGAAGGCCCUCGGGUCGUAAAGUACUGUCUCCCGUGACGAAAUUUGACGGUAACGGGGAAGGAAGCCACGGCUAACUACGUGCCAGCAGCCGCGGUAAUACGUAGGUGGCGAGCGUUGUUCGGAUUUAUUGGGCGUAAAGGGUCUGUAGGAGGUUUGUUAAAUACGGGGUGAAAUCCCGAAGCUCAACUUCGGAAUUGCCUUGUAGACUGACGAACUGGAGUACCGGAGAGGUAAGCGGAAUACCAGGUGUAGCGGUGGAAUGCGUAGAUAUCUGGUAGAACACCAAAAGCGAAGGCAGCUUGCUGGACGGAAACUGACUCUGAAAGACGAAAGCAUGGGGAGCAAACAGGAUUAGAUACCCUGGUAGUCCAUGCC
rnacentral:rRNA from 1 species